GAACGCUAGCUACAGGCUUAACACAUGCAAGUCGAGGGGCAGCAUGGUCUUAGCUUGCUAAGGCCGAUGGCGACCGGCGCACGGGUGAGUAACACGUAUCCAACCUGCCGUCUACUCUUGGACAGCCUUCUGAAAGGAAGAUUAAUACAAGAUGGCAUCAUGAGUCCGCAUGUUCACAUGAUUAAAGGUAUUCCGGUAGACGAUGGGGAUGCGUUCCAUUAGAUAGUAGGCGGGGUAACGGCCCACCUAGUCUUCGAUGGAUAGGGGUUCUGAGAGGAAGGUCCCCCACAUUGGAACUGAGACACGGUCCAAACUCCUACGGGAGGCAGCAGUGAGGAAUAUUGGUCAAUGGGCGAGAGCCUGAACCAGCCAAGUAGCGUGAAGGAUGACUGCCCUAUGGGUUGUAAACUUCUUUUAUAAAGGAAUAAAGUCGGGUAUGCAUACCCGUUUGCAUGUACUUUAUGAAUAAGGAUCGGCUAACUCCGUGCCAGCAGCCGCGGUAAUACGGAGGAUCCGAGCGUUAUCCGGAUUUAUUGGGUUUAAAGGGAGCGUAGAUGGAUGUUUAAGUCAGUUGUGAAAGUUUGCGGCUCAACCGUAAAAUUGCAGUUGAUACUGGAUAUCUUGAGUGCAGUUGAGGCAGGCGGAAUUCGUGGUGUAGCGGUGAAAUGCUUAGAUAUCACGAAGAACUCCGAUUGCGAAGGCAGCCUGCUAAGCUGCAACUGACAUUGAGGCUCGAAAGUGUGGGUAUCAAACAGGAUUAGAUACCCUGGUAGUCCACACGGUAAACGAUGAAUACUCGCUGUUUGCGAUAUACUGCAAGCGGCCAAGCGAAAGCGUUAAGUAUUCCACCUGGGGAGUACGCCGGCAACGGUGAAACUCAAAGGAAUUGACGGGGGCCCGCACAAGCGGAGGAACAUGUGGUUUAAUUCGAUGAUACGCGAGGAACCUUACCCGGGCUUAAAUUGCAGAUGAAUUACGGUGAAAGCCGUAAGCCGCAAGGCAUCUGUGAAGGUGCUGCAUGGUUGUCGUCAGCUCGUGCCGUGAGGUGUCGGCUUAAGUGCCAUAACGAGCGCAACCCUUGUUGUCAGUUACUAACAGGUUCCGCUGAGGACUCUGACAAGACUGCCAUCGUAAGAUGUGAGGAAGGUGGGGAUGACGUCAAAUCAGCACGGCCCUUACGUCCGGGGCUACACACGUGUUACAAUGGGGGGUACAGAGGGCCGCUACCACGCGAGUGGAUGCCAAUCCCAAAAACCUCUCUCAGUUCGGACUGGAGUCUGCAACCCGACUCCACGAAGCUGGAUUCGCUAGUAAUCGCGCAUCAGCCACGGCGCGGUGAAUACGUUCCCGGGCCUUGUACACACCGCCCGUCAAGCCAUGGGAGCCGGGGGUACCUGAAGUGCGUAACCGCGAGGAGCGCCCUAGGGUAAAACUGGUG
rnacentral:rRNA from 1 species